GUGGGGAAUCUUAGACAAUGGGCGCAAGCCUGAUCUAGCCAUGCCGCGUGGGUGAUGAAGGCCUUAGGGUCGUAAAGCCCUUUCGCCGGGGAAGAUAAUGACGGUACCCGGUAAAGAAACCCCGGCUAACUCCGUGCCAGCAGCCGCGGUAAUACGGAGGGGGUUAGCGUUGUUCGGAAUGACUGGGCGUAAAGCGCGCGUAGGCGGAUCGGAAAGUUGGGGGUGAAAUCCCGGGGCUCAACCCCGGAAUGGCCUUCAAAACUCCCGGUCUUGAGUUCGAGAGAGGUGAGUGGAAUUCCGAGUGUAGAGGUGAAAUUCGUAGAUAUUCGGAGGAACACCAGUGGCGAAGGCGGCUCACUGGCUCGAUACUGACGCUGAGGUGCGAAAGCGUGGGGAGCAAACAGG
rnacentral:rRNA from 1 species